CGAGAAACAGACAGUUGAUCUCUUCGGAGUGAUUCAGUCUGUGGGCAGUGGCGUACGGGUGAGUAACACGUGGGUAACCUACCUCCGAGACGGGGACAACGCAGGGAAACUUGUGCUAAUCCCCGAUGGUCUAGCGACACAGAUGUGUUAGCUAGUAAAGGCUUCGGCCGCUUGGAGAUGGGCCCGCGGCUCAUUAGCUAGUUGGUGAGGUAACAGCUCACCAAGGCGACGAUGGGUAGCCGGUCUGAGAGGAUGGUCGGCCACACUGGGACUGAGACAUGGUCCAGACUCCUACGGGAGUUAGCAUCAGGGAAUCUUGCUCAAUGGGCGCAAGCCUGAAGCAGCGACGCCGCGUGUGUGAUGAAGGCCUUCGGGUCGUGAAGCACUGUCAGGAGGGAAGAAUGCCACGCCUUUGGCGUGGAGUGACAGUACCUCCAGAGGAAGCCCCGGCUAACUACGUGCCAGCAGCCGCGGUAAAACGUAGGGGGCCAGCGUUGUCCGGAAUUACUGGGCGUAAAGCGCGCGUAGGCGGUUUAGCAAGCGGAGGGUGCAAUCCCGAGGCUCAACCUCGGAACUGCUCUCCGAACUGCUAGGCUAGAGUGCGGGAGAGGAUAGUGGAAUUCCUGGUGUAGCGGUGGAAUGCGUAAAUAUCAGGAGGAACACCGGUGGCGAAGGCUGCUAUCUGGAACGCAACUGACGCUAAGGCGCGAAAGCUAGGGGAGCGAACGGGAUUAGAUACCCCG
rnacentral:rRNA from 1 species